GUGGCCAGCCAGGAAGCGCAAAAAGUUUAUUAGACAAACCUGCCCAGUGCUAUUGAUGUUGUAGGGAUGUGAGGAAGGUACAAAAGACGUGUGUGACCCCAAGGUCUGACGAGGAGGGAAUCAACAGGUCUGGGGAGAAAGGGACCCGGGAAAACAAGAGGUAAGAGUAACCUUGAGAGUGCCAGAAUGCGAGAACCGAUGGAAAUUGCACUACAAGCUCUGGACGCCUUUGGGACCUGAGGCUGGUGAGGAAGAAGAAAGGAUCUAGAAAACUGUGGCUCCUGUGGGGAUGUCAGUCGCAGGCCGUGGGGAGACCCUCUGCUAAUGUCUGCCGUCGAGUCCGGAAGGAGCAGGGCCCAGCCAGGCAACUUCCAGCCAAGGUCGACUUGACUCCAACUAAAUUGUUUCCCUCUGAAUUAACCAUUUGUUCUCUUCAGCAAAGAUAGGCCAGUGCCUCCCUUUCCCCGUCCUGCCUGUGACACUUCACUCUUGCUGGGUGUUCUCCUCCCCUCCUUCCCGCACUUGUACUGAAUAAACAC
rnacentral:lncRNA from 1 species